GAUGUUGUAUCUCACUUUAGUAUUUGAGACUCACACUGUGAGUGACAGCAAGGAUACAAAAGGAAAUCACUGUGUAAAAUAUACUCUGUGGCCUGAGGACAUGACAUCCAGAAAGAGAGGGAGUCCAUCUGAGCUGAGCAAGUUCCCUUGCUAAGGUUGGCAAGGACAUGGGGUUGGAGAUUAAAGGGGGAGGGAAUAUUCAUUCCAUCUUCCUGUUUGUCGUGAAUUAUUGAGCCAUAGGUCCUCAAUAGCUAAACUCAUAUUUCUGUUCCUCUCUUUUGCCUUAGCUCCCAGAGCUGCUUACACCUGCUUGGCUGAUUUCCCUGGGCUGUGCUGAGGAGUGAGAAGGGGUGAGAGGAGCUGGUACUAAUGCAUACGUAUUACCAGCAGCCACCGAAUCACUGCAUGUUUGAGGCUGGAAAGGACCUCUUGAAGUCAUCUAGCCCACACCCCUGCUCUAGCAGGGCCACUUACAGCAGGUUGCCCAGGACUAUGUCCAGGUGGCUUUUGAAGAUCUUCAAGGAAAGAGACUCUGCAGACUCUCUAGGCAACUUGUGCCAGAGCUCAGUCACCUGUGCAGUAAAGAUGUGCUUCCUGGUGUUUAGAUAGAAUCUCUUGUGCUCCAGACUCAUUGCCUCUUGUCCUGUCAGAAUCGAAGUUGACUAGUGUUCUGCUAAAAUAUUCUUUCACAUGUUCUGAAAUAUGACUGAUGAUAACUUUGAUGGUUAUGGUUAUACUAGGAUUUCGUAUGUAUGUCCUACAUCAGUGCUUAGCAUAUUAGAAUGGUAUUAGAAAAAUGAGAUAUAUUCUCCCAAGAUCACUAAUGGAUUUAAUUUUGAGGGAACAGAGAAAUAUUGUAAGUUCACCAAGACACAGGUCAAAGGAAAAUGAAGCUGUAAAAAAGUCCCCCUGAUUUUAGCUGGUUUAAAUUUCAGAAAACCCAGAAGAGGGACCAAGUGCUCAUAAAGAAUUUAAGCAAUUGGGGUCUCGUUAUAUGACAGUUUGGGGAGUUAUCUGCAGAAAUGAGCUGUGCUUAGGAAGACUCAACUGUUCCAAGAAACAAACCAUAACUCCAGUUUAGGAACCAUAGGAAGGUUCAAGGGAAUGGAUUGCUCCAGUUUGUGGCACAGGGAUUACUCCUCUGCUGGCAGAUCUCCCCAUCUGCAGCUGCACCCUUUAUUUGAUCUUAGUUUGAACUGCUAAGGUUGGGGCAAAAUUGCAGCAAUGCUGUCAAGCCAAAUUCUAAGCAGUAAAUCUCAUAAAGGGAAAACUAAAUACACAAAAAUCUUACCAAGAAAAUAUAUAGUGUAGCAUUAUCCUAGAGGAAAUGCAAUGUGUUGAUUCUGUCACUGUUCCUUGAAUGCAAAAACAUUAAUCUCUUCUGAUUCUUUGAGAAACAGUGAUUCUGUUAAUAGGAUAUCAAAUUUUGACUCUCAUUCUGUAGUUUAUCUAUAAUAUUCAGGAAAUUAAUUGUAUCACUUUACAAUUAUAGGUAAUGCUGUCUAUUUCAAAGGCUCAUUCACUACAUUUAUUUAACUGUCAUAUAAUAGCUGAAAAUGGAUAAGUUUAUCAUAAACUGAACUGAUAAUUACUUCAAUAUUUGGAAAGUAGAUUCUUUUUUCUUUAAUGAAAAGAUAAAGUGUUACAAAAAAGUUUAUUUUCCUUUGACUGUUUUUAGGAUCUUCUCAAGUACUAUUUAUAUUGUUGCCAGUCUGAUAAAUACUGAACAAAAUCAUUAGCAUACAUGAGACAGAAAAUACUAAAUUAACAUGAAAGGAAAAAUUCUGCUCUGUCCAAGGGGGAAGGGUAUUUUUUUUUUUCUCUUUCAUCCUAUUGAAUAGUUUUGAUACUGAUAUUUAACUGGAAAGUUUUUUACUUUCUUCAAAAGUCAAGUAUACAUUUAAAACUACCUGAAAUAACCUCAUCACUAAAUAGGAUUAACACUUUCCUUCCAGGUUCACAUAGCUUGAUGCAGAACUUCAGUUGAAUGCAAAAAUUAUCACUGUUAAAGCUAUUUUGUUUCACAGGUAUUUUUCCAUUUUAAGAUGUCCUCACUGGUUUUAUAAAAAUGUUGUAUUAAAUUCCCACUAGCAGUUAUCCUCUUUUAAUAAGGAAAGGAGAAUAUAGUCUGAAAUGUUACAUUUUCUUUUUCCUUGUACAGUUUAAACAAUAAAUUAUACUUUAUAAGAUAUAAAAAAUACUUU
rnacentral:lncRNA from 1 species